rnacentral:rRNA from 1 species
UUCGCUGACGAGUGGCGGACGGGUGAGUAAUGUCUGGGAAACUGCCUGAUGGAGGGGGAUAACUACUGGAAACGGUAGCUAAUACCGCAUAACGUCGCAAGACCAAAGAGGGGGACCUUCGGGCCUCUUGCCAUCGGAUGUGCCCAGAUGGGAUUAGCUAGUAGGUGGGGUAACGGCUCACCUAGGCGACGAUCCCUAGCUGGUCUGAGAGGAUGACCAGCCACACUGGAACUGAGACAC